rnacentral:rRNA from 1 species
GACGUAGGGCGCGAGCGUUGUCCGGAUUUAUUGGGCGUAAAGAGCUCGUAGGCGGUUUGUCGCGUCGUUCGUGAAAACUCACAGCUUAACUUUGAGCUUGCGGUCGAUACGGGCAGGCUAGAGUUCGGUAGGGGAGACUGGAAUUCCUGGUGUAGCGGUGAAAUGCGCAGAUAUCAGGAGGAACACCGGUGGCGAAGGCGGGUCUCUGGGCCGAUACUGACGCUGAGGAGCGAAAGCGUGGGGAGCGAACAGG